AGCCAGCACAACGCAGUUCGCUCCGUUGUUUUGUUUACAGAAUGAAACACGCAGUGUCCUACACCAUAACGGAGCAUGCCUCAACUGCCCUAUCACGAAAACCGCAGCGAUAACAAUGAAGAUAUCGGCCGCCGUACACCAAUGCUAUGAGUCGAAACCAGCGCGACUACGAAGUGGCGGAGGCAACAGGACGUUCCAUAUCUUCGCUGCGGUGAACUUGAAACUGCCACGGAAUGCAGCGGUAUGGUGGCGUGGUACUACCAUCGUCCAGUUCAACGUUCUGGUGAAGGAGGUUUUUACGUCGCGUGACCAUACCAACUUUUUAGCCAGAUAAGGCGGAACCUCGUAUUUGAUAACGCCAAACAACAAAGUUGCCAAAUGUAAAUCUCUCCGCGCUCUCAUCUUUAAAAUAUUUGCUUCGUUAAUAUAAGGAGUUACGUGCAUGCGUGGUGGUACAUUAAAGCAGAACCUUGCACAUGCAUUCUGCACUCGUUGAAUUUGCUUCUGCGUAUGCGCUAGUAGACGCGGCCCGUAAACAACGUCCAUAUAGUUAAACUUAGAUAAAACCAACGAGUCACAUAAUUUAACACGCGUUUGUACUGUUAGAUAAUUCCUAAUGUUAUACAAUAUCUUUAAUCUAUAAAAACAAUUUCGAACCGUUCCCAGUACAUGAUUUUCGAAGCGAAGAUGUUCGUCCAUAACGAGACCAAGGUUACGAGCCUCACUUACUCGUGCAAUGACCUCACCCCUAAUGGCCAGAGUAACUCCGUGAUCUACGAUUUUUGCUAUUUGGUUUCUUGUACCGAAAACCAUGUAUUUGGAUUUAUUGCCAUUUAGUACUAACGCAUUUGAUUCAGCCCAAAGGGCUACACGUUCUAAGUCUUCGUUUAACUUAUCCGCAGCUGUACGAACAUCACAUGGUUUACAUGAAAUGUAAACCUGUAUAUCGUCAGCAUAAAUAUGAUAUCUACAGUGUUUAAUAUGUUGCACUACAUCGGCACUGUAGAUAAUAAAAAGGAUCGGACCCAAAAUUGAGCCUUGAGGCACUCCUCGUGUGACGUCACGUGACUCCGAUAGUAAUUUUGAUCCGCUCUGGUUUGACAGUUCUACGCACUGAAAUCGAUUCUUUAGAUAGCUGUCAAACCAUUUAACGGUAGACUCACUAAACCCGUAAUAAUGAAGCUUUGAUAACAGUAAGUUGACAUUUAUGCAGUCAAAGGCUCUGGAAAAAUCUAACAGUGUCAACAAGGUCCCCUGUCCACUGUCUUGAGCAGUUAAGAUA